rnacentral:tRNA from 1 species
CGGGGUAUAGCGCAGACUGGUAGCGCGCACGCUUGGGGUGCGUGAGGUCGUGGGUUCAAAUCCCGCUACCCCGACCA